rnacentral:rRNA from 1 species
UGGGGUAAUUUUGGACAAUGGGCGCAAGCCUGAUCCAGCCAUGCCGCGUGAGUGAAGAAGGCCUUCGGGUUGUAAAGCUCUUUCAGUUGGGAAGAAACGAUUACAACUAAUAAUUGUAAUUAAUGACGGUACCGACAGAAGAAGCACCGGCUAACUACGUGCCAGCGCCCCGGGGUUAAUACAAA